rnacentral:snoRNA from 18 species
UUUUAUGAUGAGCAGUUUUAUUACUAGUUAUCCCUGGCAGAAACUAUACAACCCUGUUGAUAACACAAACCUCUGAAAA